rnacentral:misc_RNA from 1 species
GCGUCUGCCUCAGAGACGCCACGUUUCCGUCCUCUAACAAAGGAGGAUUUUCAAAUCAUACUUGGGGUUGAAAGGUUUAGAUGUCCUGAAGUUUUAUUCAAUCCCAACUUCAUUGGGAUAGACCAGUCGGGGUUGGACGAAAUGGUUGGAGUGUCAUUGAGAAGGUUGCCUAGUUGGGUACAAGGGUUGGAGGAUAAAAUGACAAGUUCAAUACUUGUGACUGGCGGGAGUUGUCUCUACGCAGGUGUGGGUGAGCGCUUGGAAGCAGGAAUUCGGAUGAUCAGACCAUGUGGAACUCCUAUAGAGGUUGUCAGAGCAACAGAUCCAAUUAUGGAUGCAUGGCGUGGUGCUUCGGUUUAUGCUGCUGCUAUGCAAUUCCCAGAGCAAACAUUCAGUAGAACGGAUUAUUAUGAAAAAGGUGAAGAUUGGCUUCGUAGAUACAAGUUCAAAUACACAAUCUAAUUGGAAACUGAUUAGGUUUAGUACACCCAGCGCAAGCUAUGUUAUUCGAAAUCGUGAACUUGCACUAUGGAACUGUUCACGAGCUAAUUGUUUGUUACACCUGCCAUUUGACACCAAAAAAAGAAGAAGAUAUAGUUAAUGAUAUUAUAUGACGGUUGUAUUAAAAAUUCUACUGAACUAUGCAGUUAAACGCAGUUUCA